AUUGAACGCUGGCGGCAGGCCUAACACAUGCAAGUCGAACGGUAACAGGAAGCAGCUUGCUGCUUUGCUGACGAGUGGCGGACGGGUGAGUAAUGUCUGGGAAACUGCCCGAUGGAGGGGGAUAACUACUGGAAACGGUAGCUAAUACCGCAUAACGUCGCAAGACCAAAGAGGGGGACCUUCGGGCCUCUUGCCAUCGGAUGUGCCCAGAUGGGAUUAGCUAGUAGGUGGGGUAAAGGCUCACCUAGGCGACGAUCCCUAGCUGGUCUGAGAGGAUGACCAGCCACACUGGAACUGAGACACGGUCCAGAAUCCUACGGGAGGCAGCAGUGGGGAAUAUUGCACCAUGGGCGCCAAGCCUGAU
rnacentral:rRNA from 1 species